GCUGGGGGAGCGGACUGCCCUUCCUGAGGCUCAGGGGAGUGCCAGCCCCACUGGAUUACUGAGAGGGAGAGUGAACUGAAGGCUGGGGACACAGGUAAUGGGUCCUAGAGGAGGCUGGAGAGAUUGCUGAGCUGGUGGGUGGGAAUGUCAGCCAGCACGAGCAGUGUCCCUGCCAACCAGGGCACAGGAUUUGGGACACUGAGGAGGAGGCCGCAGUCAGAGGAAGGGGAAAAGUGGCAAGUCGAGGAAAACACAGGAGCCUUUGCACCUAGAGCCGUGUAAGUUCAAGGUCCGGUCGGGGGCUGUGAGGUGCUGUCUGGCUCUGGGGAGCUGAGGAAGGCGGGGGCAGGGAAGAAUGAGACCAUCCAAGGUUCUGGACUCGAGUGCAUGUGGGAAGUCAUGGUGACCACAUUCCAGGAGAGAAGCGGGGUUUUAUGGCUGUGGGUAGGGAAUGCUUCACUUUUGGAUGGGGGGAUUGAAAUCAUUCAUUCAUUCAUUUAUUCAACCAAAACUGAAUUGAGCCCUUACCCUCUCCCAAGACCUUGGCUGGAUUCUGAGGAUACAGCGUCAUCCCAGACCGACUUCUCUGCCUUUAUGGAGUGAGAAAGGCAGACAGAAGAGCGAAUUGAAUAAGUCUUCAGAAUCUGGGGGACGUCUUGCAUUUACAGCAUGGCUCACCUCAGGCCAGACCCUCAUCAAACCUCCCUGAGCCACAGCACCAUACAAGGGGGGGCUUUAGUUUUAGCCGAAUUCCACACAUGUCUGGAGGUUUCUGGAAGGUUUUCGGAAGAAUGCUUUCUCAGCUCCAGCUUACUGCCACAUCCGGAAAUUGUUUUCCAAGUGUGUCUGGGAUUUUGAGUUUGCGUAUUUUCUGGCUUCUUGGAUACUGCCUAGUAAAACACUGAAAAAUAGCA